UCUGGAGGCACAGAUCAAUCGCCA
rnacentral:snRNA from 1 species